rnacentral:rRNA from 1 species
GAGCCUACCAAGGCGACGAUCUAGUAGCUAGGUACUAGAGAGGAUAGAUACAGCCACACUAGGGACUAGAGACACGGCCCAGACUCCUAACGGGAGGCAGCAGUGGGGAAUUUUCCGCAAUGGGCGCAAGCCUAGACGGAGCCAGAACCGCGUACGGGAUGACGGCCUAAAUGGUUGUAAACCGCUAUAUCUACUAGGGAAGAUGAUGACGGUACCAGAGGAAUACAGCCUACGGCUAAACUCCGUGCCAGCAGCCGCGGUAAUAACGGAGGAGGCAAGCGUAAUACCGGAAUAUAUUGGGCGUAAAAGCGUACGUAGGUAGGUUAUACAAGUACUAGCUGUCAAAGCGUAGGGGCUAAACUACCAUAAGAGGCAGUGGAAACUGGAUAGACUUGAGUAGCGGUAGGGGUACGAGGGAAUAUCCCAGUGUAGCGGUGAAAUGCGUAGAUAUAGGGAAGAACACCAGUGGCGAAAGCGCUACGACUAGGGCCUAGCACUAGACACUAGAGGGACGAAAGCUAGGGGAGCGAAAGGGAUAAGAUAACCCUGAAGUCCUAGCCGUAAACGAUGGAUACUUAGGUGUUGCUCGUUCAUCGACCCGAGCAGUGCCGUAGCCUACGCGUUAAGUAUCCCGCCUGGGGAGUACGCUCGCAAGAGUUGAAACUCAAAGGAAUUGACGGGGGCCCGCACAAUCGGUGGAGUAUGUGGUUUAAUUCGAUGCAACGCGAAGAACCUUACCAGGGCUUGACAUGUCCGGAACCUUGCCGAAAGGUGAGGGUGCCUACGGGAACCGGAGCACAGGUGGUGCAUGGCUGUCGUCAGCUCGUGUCGUGAGAUGUUGGGUUAAGUCCCGCAACGAGCGCAACCCACGUUCUUAGUUGCCAGCAUUCAGUUGGGCACUCUAGGGAGACUGCCGGUGACAAACCGGAGGAAGGUGUGGAUGACGUCAAGUCAGCAUGCCCCUUACGUCAUGGGCUACACACGUACUACAAUGCUGUGGACAAAGGGCAGCCAGCCGGCGACGGUGAGCUAAUCCCAUAAACCACGGCACAGUUCAGAUUGCAGGCUGCAACUCGCCUGCAUGAAGGAGGAAUCGCUAGUAAUCGCAGGUCAGCAUACUGCGGUGAAUACGUUCCCGGGCCUUGUACACACCGCCCGUCACACCAUGGGAGUUGGUUUUGCCCGAAGUCGUUAC